AUACGUAGGGUGCGAGCGUUGUCCGGAAUUACUGGGCGUAAAGAGCUCGUAGGUGGUUUGUCGCGUCGUCUGUGAAAUUCCGGGGCUUAACUCCGGGCGUGCAGGCGAUACGGGCAUAACUUGAGUACUGUAGGGGAGACUGGAAUUCCUGGUGUAGCGGUGAAAUGCGCAGAUAUCAGGGGGAACACCGGUGGCGAAGGGGGGUCUCUGGGCAGUAACUGACGCUGAGGAGCGAAAGCAUGGGUAGCGAACAGGAUUAGAUACCCUGGUAGUCCAUGCCGUAAACGGUGGGCGCUAGGUGUAGGGGUCUUCCACGACUUCUGUGCCGUAGCUAACGCAUUAAGCGCCCCGCCUGGGGAGUACGGCCGCAAGGCUAAAACUCAAAUGAAUUGACGGGG
rnacentral:rRNA from 1 species